rnacentral:rRNA from 1 species
AUUGAACGCUGGCGGCAGGCCUAACACAUGCAAGUCGAGCGAGCGGCGGACGGGUGAGUAAUGUAUGGGGACUGCCCGAUAGAGGGGGAUAACUACUGGAAACGGUGGCUAAUACCGCAUACUAUCGGAUAACCCAUAUGGGAUUAGCUAGUAGGUGGGGUAAAGGCUCACCUAGGCGACGAUCUCUAGCUGGUCUGAGAGGAUGAUCAGCCCACCUGGGACUGAGACACGGCCCAGACUCCCAGGAAGGCACCAGUGGGGAAUAUGGCACCAUGGGCGCAAGCGUGAUGCAGCCAUGCGGCGUGUAUAAAGAUGGCCUUAGGGUUGUAAAGUUCUUCCAGCGGGAAGGGGUUACCCGCAGAAAAAGCACCGGCUAACUCCGUGCCGACCGCCGCGGUAAUAC